rnacentral:rRNA from 1 species
UGGGGAAUAUUGGACAAUGGGCGCAAGCCUGAUCCAGCCAUGCCGCGUGAGUGACGAAGACCUUAGGGUUGUAAAGCUCUUUUGGCGGGGACGAUAAUGACGGUACCCGCAGAAUAAGCCCCGGCUAACUUCGUGCCAGCAGCCGCGGUAAUACGAAGGGGGCUAGCGUUGUUCGGAAUUACUGGGCGUAAAGGGCUCGUAGGCGGCCAACUAAGUCAGACGUGAAAUCCCUCGGCUUAACCGGGGAACUGCGUCUGAUACUGGAUGGCUUGAGGUUGGGAGAGGGAUGCGGAAUUCCAGGUGUAGCGGUGAAAUGCGUAGAUAUCUGGAGGAACACCGGUGGCGAAGGCGACAUCCUGGACCAAUUCUGACGCUGAGGAGCGAAAGCCAGGGGAGCAAACGGGAUUAGAUACCCGGGUAGUCCCUGAGCGGGCUGGCAAGGCGCAU